UAGUAAAUUUAAAAUAAAUAAGAACAAAAUAGAAAGAAAAACAAAAAUUAAAUACAAACAAUUUAAGAAUACCACAUAGUGAAAAAAAAGGACAAAUUUAUUAAAUUGUCCUUGAAACGAUUCAGUGAUGACCAUUAAAAAUGAUUUCUGCUGACUGCAUAAUAAAAAUAGAGAACUAGUGGCAUGUUCCUUUUAAAUGUGUUUGUGGCUAGUUAUUUCCUGUAUGUGUUUCCUCUUCUACAACAUUUAAGAGCAGUGCAUCCUUGCAGAUUCAAAGCACUAUCUGUCGUCCAUCAGUCAUCAUGAAUCUAAUAACCACAUUUCUGCUAAUGAUCCUAACAGGACAUUGCACAUCGGAAUAUCUGAAGAAACUCGUCUGCAGCUAUGAGAACAAGAAUAUAAAUCUGAACAAGUCCAGGGUAUGGUGCAAAAGAGAUGCCCAGGAUAACAACUGCUGUACAGGCUUCUCUUUCCAGCGAGGCGACAAGCUUUGGACUCGGUGAAGACUCUCACGCAAGGGGAUGGAGUCUACUGGUGUGGGUUGAUGGCUGAAGAUAAAAUCAUCGUUAAACUGGCCGAAGAUUACUUUACCAAUUGUAAGACAAAAUACUACUUCUCUAUUUCUCUUUAGAUGGUUUCCUGAGUGCAAGAGACCACCAUAUUAAAAAUACUUUCUGCAUGUUUUAAUUUUAAAUUCCUAAAAUGUAUUUUAAAAUAAAUAUCUCUGGAAUUUACGGUAAAGAAAAAAAAGCAAUUGCGGUUACCGAAACUUUACGGUAGCAACAUUUAAGGUUUUAUGGAUUUAAGUAUUAAAAAUCGUAGGCUAUAUUUCAUUAAUCCAUAUAAGAUUAUGUUAAUAUACCAUCUUCCUGACGGACUUCUGUUUUGUUCCUGAAAAAUAUCAAAUGUGAAGUGUCACACAGCGAAUUUUGGGAAUUUCAGUUUACACUUUUUUAAUGUAAAAAGACAACUUUUUUCCACAUCCAACAACUGUAAAUUUAACAGUAUUUUACUGUUUUAAGUUCAUGAAAUGCCCCAUUAGAUUUCUUACUGUUUUUACGUUAUGUUACGUUAAUUAACAGAUUUUUACCGUAGCAUUCUUAAAGUAAGUAUUUUUUUUUUUUUUUACUAAUUAAUUAAUCUAUGACUUUAAAAGUAAGUUAUUUUUUUUUUUUUUUUACAAUUUAAUUAAUCUAUGAUCAUGUCAAUUGCAGCUCCAUUUAACUUUGCUUGGUCCAUCAUCCGCUGGAUUAUAUUUAUUUUGCUCCCUGUGACGAUCAUUUCAUCUCACAUAUAUUCAAACAGUGAGUCAUCACAAACCACCUCAAUACUAAAAAUCUCAAUAGCCUACUAAAAAAAGCUUUGAA
rnacentral:lncRNA from 1 species